AACGAACGCUGGCGGCGUGCCUAACACAUGCAAGUCGAGCGCGAAAAGGGCAACCUGAGUAGAGCGGCGCACGGGUGCGUAACACGUGGGUAAUCUGCCUUAGAGUCGAGGAUAACCUUCCGAAAGGUUGGCUAAUACUCGGUAAGCUUACGGUGUCUUCGGACGCUGUGGGAAAAGUAGGCCUCUGUUUAAAAGCUUACGCUCUGAGAUGAGCCCGCGGCCCAUCAGCUAGUUGGCGGUGUAACGGACAACCAAGGCAACGACGGGUAGCUGGUCUGAGAGGACGAUCAGCCACACUGGAACUGAGACACGGUCCAGACUCCUACGGGAGGCAGCAGUGGGGAAUUUUCCACAAUGGGAGAAAGCCUGAUGGAGCAACGCAGCGUGUGUGAUGAAGGUUUUCGGAUCGUAAAGCACUUUCGACCGGGACGAAAAACCUCUGGCUAACAUCCAGGGGCCUGACGGUACCGGGAGAAGAAGCACCGGCUAACUCUGUGCCAGCCGCCGCCGUAA
rnacentral:rRNA from 1 species